rnacentral:rRNA from 1 species
UACGUAGGGGCCGAGCGUUGUCCGGAGUUACUGGGCGUAAAGCGCGCGCAGGCGGCCACUUAAGCCCGGCGUGAAAGCCCCCGGCUCAACCGGGGAGGGUCGUCGGGGACUGGGUGGCUUGAGGACGGCAGGGGCUGGUGGAAUCCCCGGUGUAGUGGUGAAAUGCGCAGAUAUCAGGAGGAACACCGGUGGCGAAGGCGGGUCUCUGGGCCGAUACUGACGCUGAGGAGCGAAAGCGUGGGGAGCGAACAGG